GACGAACGCUGGCGGCGUGCUUAACACAUGCAAGUCGAACGGAAAGGCCCUGCUUUUGUGGGGUGCUCGAGUGGCGAACGGGUGAGUAACACGUGAGUAACCUGCCCUUGACUUUGGGAUAACUUCAGGAAACGGGGGCUAAUACCGGAUAGGAGCUCCUGCUGCAUGGUGGGGGUUGGAAAGUUUCGGCGGUUGGGGAUGGACUCGCGGCUUAUCAGCUUGUUGGUGGGGUAGUGGCUUACCAAGGCUUUGACGGGUAGCCGGCCUGAGAGGGUGACCGGCCACAUUGGGACUGAGAUACGGCCCAGACUCCUACGGGAGGCAGCAGUGGGGAAUAUUGCACAAUGGGCGGAAGCCUGAUGCAGCAACGCCGCGUGCGGGAUGACGGCCUUCGGGUUGUAAACCGCUUUCGCCUGUGACGAAGCGUGAGUGACGGUAAUGGGUAAAGAAGCACCGGCUAACUACGUGCCAGCAGCCGCGGUGAUACGUAGGGUGCGAGCGUUGUCCGGAUUUAUUGGGCGUAAAGGGCUCGUAGGUGGUUGAUCGCGUCGGAAGUGUAAUCUUGGGGCUUAACCCUGAGCGUGCUUUCGAUACGGGUUGACUUGAGGAAGGUAGGGGAGAAUGGAAUUCCUGGUGGAGCGGUGGAAUGCGCAGAUAUCAGGAGGAACACCAGUGGCGAAGGCGGUUCUCUGGGCCUUUCCUGACGCUGAGGAGCGAAAGCGUGGGGAGCGAACAGGCAUAGAUACCCUGGUAGUCCACGCUGUAAACGGUGGGUACUAGGUGUGGGGUCCAUUCCACGGGUUCCGUGCCGUAGCUAACGCUUUAAGUACCCCGCCUGGGGAGUACGGCCGCAAGGCUAAAACUCAAAGGAAUUGACGGGGCCCCGCACAAGCGGCGGAGCAUGCGGAUUAAUUCGAUGCAACGCGUAGAACCUUACCUGGGUUUGACAUGGAUCGGGAGCGCUCAGAGAUGGGUGUGCCUCUUUUGGGGUCGGUUCACAGGUGGUGCAUGGCUGUCGUCAGCUCGUGUCGUGAGAUGUUGGGUUAAGUCCCGCAACGAGCGCAACCCUUGUUCACUGUUGCCAGCACGUUAUGGUGGGGACUCAGUGGAGACCGCCGGGGUCAACUCGGAGGAAGGUGGGGAUGACGUCAAGUCAUCAUGCCCCUUAUGUCCAGGGCUUCACGCAUGCUACAAUGGCUGGUACAGAGAGUGGCGAGCCUGUGAGGGUGAGCGAAUCUCGGAAAGCCGGUCUCAGUUCGGAUUGGGGUCUGCAACUCGACCUCAUGAAGUCGGAGUCGCUAGUAAUCGCAGAUCAGCAACGCUGCGGUGAAUACGUUCCCGGG
rnacentral:rRNA from 1 species